UUGAACGCUGGCGGAAUGCUUUACACAUGCAAGUCGAGCGGCAGCGCGGGGGCAACCCUGGCGGCGAGCGGCGAACGGGUGAGUAACAUAUCGGAACGUACCCCGUCGUGGGGGAUAACACAGCGAAAGUUGUGCUAAUACCGCAUACGACCUGAGGGUGAAAGCGGGGGACCGUAAGGCCUCGCGCGAUGGGAGCGGCCGAUAUCGGAUUAGCUAGUUGGUGAGGUAAAGGCUCACCAAGGCGACGAUCCGUAGCUGGUCUGAGAGGACGACCAGCCACACUGGAACUGAGACACGGUCCAGACUCCUACGGGAGGCAGCAGUGGGGAAUUUUGGACAAUGGGGGCAACCCUGAUCCAGCCAUUCCGCGUGAGUGAAGAAGGCCUUCGGGUUGUAAACUUCUUUUGCAGGGGAAUAAAGUUCGCUACGAGUAGCGAUUUGUAAGUACCUUGCGAAUAAGGAUCGGCUAACUCCGU
rnacentral:rRNA from 1 species